AACUUUGUCACCUAAGUCAGGCUUCUACACUCUGCUGUUCGUCGUUAGCAAAGCUUUCUGCUUGUAGAGUCUUUUUCCUUUAUACAGUUUUCCAACGACAUGAAAAGAUGAUACUUCCGGUGUUCUUCCUCUUAGGGCUGCUUAGAGCAGCUGUCGCUCAGAACGCAUGUCCUGACGGAUGGCUAACCUAUCAGCAGUCCUGUUACAAAGUUUUCAACGACCCAAAAGACUGGAACGAGGCGAGAACAGCCUGCAACGCCUACACAGCGGACCUCGCGGUUCUCACCACUGCAGGGGAACAGCAAUGGAUGUCCCAACAGUUACCCAACGACGGAGGCCAGUACUGGAUCGGUCUGCACGACAUUCUGGGAGAGACAUCCUUCCAGUGGGCCGACGGCACACCCCUCAACAUAGGAGUCACUAUGUGGAAUACUGGUGAGCCCAACAAUGCCCACUCUACUGGGGAGGACUGUGUGGAAAUGUUUGUACAGUCCAAUGUUGGCAAGUGGAACGAUCUAGCAUGCACAACUGCCAAGCCAUACGUCUGCGAGCGAUUUUCAGGGCUAGUUGAUGCCUGUGACACAGCCAAUGGCUGGGAGCUGUACAACGAGCGCUGCUACAAGUUCAGCGGCAGUCAGAAGGAGACCUGGCUGGAUGCCCAGCAGAUCUGCCGCUCCUACGGCGGCGAUCUGGUCAGCAUUCUGGAUGACACAGAAAACAACUACGUCAUGUCCAAAGCAGUGAGCGUACAGGAACCUAUAUACAUCGGUCUCUCAGAUACGGCGUCUCCUAACCAGGUCCAGUGGAGUGGAGGAGGUCCGCCUGCCAGCUACACUAACUGGGCUGACAACGUCAUUGGCUCAGACGGAAACUGGGACUUCCCCGGAGCCGUGUGCACUCAGCUGUUUGCCAGUGGAGGAAAGUGGUGGCCUGUCCGCUGUAGGAAUGAGAGGGCUUUCUUGUGUGAAAGGGGGAAGCAACGGUCCUGUCCUGCUGGGUGGCGUAACAACAACGGCUACUGCUACCAGUUCAACAUCAACCCCAAAAUGACCUGGCCGGACGCCCGCCACUACUGCGAGAGUCACGGUGCAAUUCUGUUAACCAUUCACAGCCAAGAUGAGCAGAACUUUGUUCAGACGAUGUUCCCUACUCUGUUGGCUGGUGGAGUGCGGGACUUGUGGCUGGGAAUUUCUGAUGUGGCAGAUGAUGGGUACUUUGAUUGGGUAGAUGGCAGCAAUGAGACAUAUUCCAACUGGUUCCCUAACAACCCAGCCGACACUACAGGCAGCUGGGACUGCAGCAGGCUAUAUACUGGAUCUGACCAGGGACAGUGGGAGACUGCCAGUUGUUUCAACCUGCACGGCUUUGUCUGUAAAAUCCCUGAUGGUGAAACAGUCCUCUCUGGCAGUUGUUAUCAGCCGAUGGGAAUGGAAUCGGGGUACAUACCGAAUGAAAAAAUCACUGCAUCGUCCGAGUUUCUCCCGACGCUUGCUGCUUGGAAUGGCAGGCUGAACACACAGGAUGGCGUAGGGGGUGGCCUAGGGUCCUGGGCUGCUUAUUCAAAUGACCAAGACCAAUGGUUACAGGUGGACCUGGGUAGGGUGAGCACCAUCAGUGGUGUGAUCACCCAGGGUAGGAACGGUUACACAGGACAGGGUGGUGGUCAGUGGGUCACCUCAUUCAAACUGCGCCUCAGCACUGAUGGCAACACUUGGACUACAGUCAUGGAUGUCGCUUCUGGUACCAGUCAGGACAAGAUUUUUACGGCUAACACAGACAGAGAUACAGAGGUGACAAACCUCCUGGAUGCGCCAGUUUCCACACGGUUUGUUCGCUUCUGGCCCUGGACCUGGAGAAACCACAUCAGUAUGAGGGUGGAAGUCCUCGGCUGUGACAACAGUGGACAAUUCAUGGUGUGUCCAAGUGGAUGGUCCCUGUUCCAAGGAAACUGCUACUACUUUGAGAAACAAGAGGCCGACUGGAAUGAUGCGGAGGCUUACUGCAGGCAACAAGGCGCCAACCUUGCCAGUAUCACUUCAGGAGCUGAACAGAGCUACAUCCGAUCUCACAUGAACACAAGACAACACAUAGGUUUCACAGACAGGGAUGUUGAGGGAACAUUUGCUUGGACUGACGGCUCUCUUGUUACAUUCUUGAACUGGAACCCGAACGAACCUAACGACGCUGGAGGUGAGGACUGUACCGAACUGAUCGUAGACAGCGGGAAGUGGAACGACAUCCCCUGUGAUGGGAGAAACCGCGACUACACCUGUAAGAAACCUGCACAAAUUGCAGCACCACCAGUUAUACCAACAACAAUUGGCUGGACCAGUGGAAAGUGGCCCCCCUGGGUGGGAUGAGGACCCCAUGAGUGACUACUGUUACCAGGUGAAUGUGGGAUCCUUCCGUACCUGGCACCACGCCAGGGAGAACUGUCAGAACAAGGGAGGAGACCUGGUCAGCAUAACCACCCCGCAGGAACAGUCAUACCUCAACGGUCGUUUGAGUGGAGUGACAGGUGUGACAGGGGUUUGGAUUGGUGCUCACGACAGGGGAACUGAGGGAGGCUGGGAGUGGAGCGACGGGAUGCCUUUCACCUACCUGAACUGGGGAGGAGGGGAACCAAACAAUGCCGGUUCUGGUGAGGACUGCACAGAAAUGUUGGUCAGUAACGCUCUGUGGAACGACAUGCCCUGUGAUUCUCUGCGUGGGUACAUGUGCAAAAGGCGAGGAAAUGUCCCAACACUACCACCACCAUCAGCUGGUAGUACUGAUGACUCCUACACAUACCAUCUGUGCGAGCGGUACCAGUUUGACUUAAGCUGCGACGAUGAUGAAGUCAUUGAGAUCAUCGAUGCCAACUACGGACGGACAUCUCAGACCAUCUGUGCAGACAGCCCCAUCUCUGUAACCAAUUGUCUGUCCCCCACGAGUGUGGAUGUUGUUCGGGGGACCUGUGACGGACAGCAGACGUGUACGCUUCAGGCAACAAACGCUGUCUUCGGGGACCCUUGCCAAGGGACGUACAAGUAUCUGGAAGUGACCUAUCGUUGUGUGAAACAAGCCUGCAUACAGCCACUUGGCAUGGAGAAUGGAGACAUCCAUGACAGCCAGCUGGCUGCGUCUGGAUCCUGGAACUACCAACAUGGCCCAGAACGUGCCCGUCUGCAUCAGGGACAGGGUGGUGGGGGGGCCGGCGCCUGGUGUGCCGGUACCAACGAUCCCAACCAGUGGAUAGAGGUGGAUCUCCUCCGCUCUAUCAGUGUGACAGGUAUCCAGACCCAGGGCAGGGCUGACUAUGAUCAGUGGGUGACGACCUUCCGGGUCCAGUAUAGCGAUGACAGGACCACCUGGAGGACAUAUGGAGAUGGGGAUGGAACUGACUUCCCAGGAAACUCUGACCGUAACACCGUGGUGACCACCAUGUUCCCUAACCCCAUCCUGACCCGCUGGCUCCGUGUCAACCCGAGAACCUGGAGCGGCCAUGUCAGUCUGAGGAUGGAAAUCCUAGGAUGUGACCCAGGAGAACUUGUCACCUGCAGCACUCGGGCUGACUACAGAGAUGACAUGAGAUAUGAGGUCUACUGUCCACCAGGAUGUGUUACCAAUUACCACUUCCUCUGGGGAACUGGCAUCUACACAGAUGAUUCUUACAUCUGUGUGGCAGCCCUCCACGAUGGCAGGAUCACAAACGAACACGGCGGCAGGGUGACGGUGAUCAAGAGCGACGGUCUGACCAGUUACCAGGGAUCAACACAAAACGGCGUCACAUCAAGCUCGUAUGGUGACUGGACAAGUCAUUAUUCAUUUGCCUUUGACAUGGGACAACUGCGCUGCCCUCUCGGCUGGUCCCCGUACGGAGACAACUGUUACAAGGUGAUGAUGGACUCUGUCUCCUGGUACGACAGUAGCACGUCCUGCCGCAGCAUGAACGGGGAACUGGUCUCCAUCGCGGACUUCAACGAGAACUACUUUGUCACAAGCAUCAUUGCUGGAGCUGGCACCCGACAGGUUUGGAUUGGUCUGAAUGACCAGGCCAUACAGAACUACUUCCAGUGGUCAGAUGGAUCCAAGAACACCUACACCAACUGGAACGUCCACGAGCCCAACAACUGGGCUGGACACGGCGGCGGGCAGCUGGAAGACUGUGUCUCCAUUUUCGUUGCCGAUGACGGUCGACCAGAUGAUCCCAGCUACAGCGAGCAUGCGGGUCAGUGGAACGAUGAACUGUGCACCAAUACCAUGCCUUACGUCUGCGAGGCACCCAAACAGCUGCUCACACCACCUACUGUGGAGCCAACUAUUCAAGGCUGCGAACGGGGUUGGCUGGGCUACAUGAACAGGUGUUACCUGAUCAGUGAGAAUGACGAGACAUGGCAGAAUGCCAGGCUCUUCUGUCAGAACAAGGGAGGAGAGCUGCUGCAUGUUAGGGACAGAUUUGAGCAGUCUUUCAUCGGAAGCCAGCUGGGACAGUUGAAUGGUUUCUUCUGGAUAGGACUGUCUGCAUCAGUGGACCCCUCCACCGGAGCUACUAACUAUGUCUGGGCCAACAACAUGCCCUUCACUUAUGACAACUGGGAUCUUCUGCAACCUGAUGACUCUGCGGGUAGCUGUGUUGCCAUGAAUGCCGGGAUGGGUGGUUCCCUGUGGGACGACCAGGCCUGCGAUGUUCAGAACAAGUUUGUGUGUGAGGUAACCAGGAUCGGGGUGACCCUCCACCCUUCCCUGGUCCAGACCACCAUGUCCACAGACCCCUGCGCCAGUGGAUGGGUGGGACAAGAUGGAACCAACUACUGUUACCAGAUCAACAAGCCAGACCAGUUUAGCGUAAAGACUUGGGAGGAGGCGCUGGCAAACUGUCAGGCUAAAGGCGGCGACCUCGCCAGCGUACACAGUCCUGAGGAAUCAAACUUCCUGUUAUCACAAAUGAAUGAUGUCUUUGCACAGUACUGGAUAGGACUGAAUGACAAGAGUGUGGAGAAUGGCUUCACCUGGACAGAUGGAACGCCUGUUAGUUUCACGUUGUGGAAUGACGGAGAGCCUAACAAUGCAGGGAAUGGGGAACAUUGUGUGGAGAUGGUGGUUAGUUCAGGAGAAGCUUUCUGGAAUGACAUGGACUGUGGGGCUAGCAGGAACUGGGUCUGCAAAAUCAGAAGAGGUGUACAGCCAAUACCAAUAACUACAGUGGCACCUGUAACCUAUAGCUACUGCGACGGAGACUCUAACUGGGUUUCAUACAGAGGAGCUUGCUAUCAUUUUAACGAUACCAACCUGUUGGGAUGGCUGCCAGCAAGACAGACGUGUCUCCUGGCUGGUGCAGACCUUGUUUCCAUUAACAGCCCAGAAGAACAGGAAUUCAUCUUCAGAAAUAUUUUCACGUCCAGAAUCAACACCUUCUGGCUUGGAAUCCGAGAGUAUGGUGUGAACCAAAUCUACAGCUGGUCUGACACCUCUCCGUAUGUCUAUCUUAACUGGAACGACGGGGAACCCAACGACUCUUUUGGGGAAGAACAGUGUGGAGAGAUUUACAAGGGUACAGGAAAAUGGAACGAUGCCAACUGUGGAUCUCCUAAUGGCUAUAUCUGUAAGAGACCGUCAGUUCCACUUACCGUGCCUCCCCCCACUGAUCCCUGGAAGGGUUACUGUCCCCCCGGCUGGAUAGACUAUGGUGGAAACAAGUGCUACUGGAUCGAGAAUAGUAACAAGAUGAACUGGACUGCAGCUCGAUCAUUCUGCCAGAGCCAGGGACAACAUGCUAACCUGGUUGCCAUCAACGACGAGUUUGAACAAUCUUUCCUGACAGCCCAGCUAUGGCCUUACAGGGCGAGGGAAGACAACCUGUGGAUUGGGAUGUCUGAACAAGUCAACCAGAACAUGUUCCUGUGGACCUCUGGACACCCUGUCACAUACACCAACUGGGUCAACGGAGAACCAAAUGACUGGAUGUCUAAUCCGAGACCACAUGUCCUGAUGGAUGGAUAGCCCAUUUGCAGUCCUGUUACAAAGUCUUCGAAGAGCUGAAAGAGUGGGCACCAGCAAGAACGGCUUGUAGCGCCUUCAUGGCAGACCUGGCUAGUAUCACCACUACAGAAGAGCAGUAUGUGGAAUCCUGGUGAGCCUAACAACGCUCACGCUACUGGUGAAGACUGUGUGGAAAUGUUUGUGCAGGACAAUGUUGGCAAGUGGAAUGACCUGGCCUGUGACACUGCCAAGAAAUACGUCUGCGAGCGAAGUCCAGAAACUGUAGCGACCCAGACUCCCGUCACCCCCUGCACGAUCCCCGGGUUCGUGUCGUGGCGUAACGGCUGCUACAGCCUGUUCCGGAGUCCCAUGGAGACGUGGGACCAGGCGCGGGAGGGCUGCCGCUCCACGAGGUCCCGCCUCGCCAGCGUGGUGGACAUCUACGAGGAGAACUUCCUCAAGGCUGCCGUCAAGGGGAAGGCCUGGAUCGGCCUCUCAGAUCAAGAUAGUCCUGGUGUGUACCGUUGGGAUGACAGGUGGCCGGUCAUGUACACCAGGUGGGGGGAGAACGAGCCCAGCAGGGGAGCCGGGGAGGGCUGUGUGGCACUGGAGUAUGACGGGAGAUGGGACGACAUCAACUGUGAAACCAAGCUACCCUACCUCUGCAAAACCACAUCCGACAUCCCACCACCCACUCCUUACCCUGUUCCUGGCCACUGCCCUGACGUGUCCUGGUUCUCCAUCGGGUCCAACUGUUUCUACAUCGAGAAAGGAGAGGACCCAGCAAAACAGGUUACCUGGUAUGAGGCUGUGUUUGAGUGCCUGAACAGGGGAGGACAGUUGGCAAGUAUACAUGACGAGACAGAGGUUCGCGGAUAUGUCCACCGUCAGCCGAAGGCCAACGUCUGGAUCGGGAUGUACAAAGAUAGAUUCCAGUCAUUUGUCUGGUACGAUGGAUCCCCCAUUGGCUACACCAACUGGGCGAAGGACGAGCCCAACAACAAUAACAACAACGACCCACAAGACACAACCAUCGAGCCUGAGAACUGUGUGGAGAUGUACAGGGACGGCAAGUGGAACGACAAGGAGUGCUAUGCACAGAGGGGAUACGUCUGCAAGACCCCUAUAAUCCCAGACGGGAACCCAGUCUUCCCCACAUCAGGAACCACGUCUACAGCGAACACAGCGACCACCAGAACCCCGAGCACACAGAGCACCCAGCGGCCCCAGACCCGCACCCCCACCCCGGUCAGGCCUGUCACCGGGUCACAGCGUCCGCCUGUCGUCUACACCGGCAGCGGCAACGCCUCACCUCAGAAGCAAAAUGGUGGAGGUCUGGACACCGGAUCCACUGUGGCAAUCCUGCUGGCUGUUGUGGUCAUCAUUGCGUUGGUGAUUGCCGUCGGUUGGUUUGUCCUUCGGAGGAGGGCGGGCUCCCCUCCCCUUCUGAAGAACAUGGACAGUGGAGGAGCCGUGGGUUUCGACAACGCUCUCUACAGCUCCGGCACUGACGUAGUUACAAUGUCAAACAUUGGUGAAUCUUCCUCGGCAUAGAACACCAAUUUAACGUAGUUCAAAAUAUCUUCAGAUUUAGCAGAAUAGUAAAUCUGAAGAUUUAGUAGAAUAGUAAAUCGGAAGAUUUAGUUAAAUAAUAAACUUUCAGGCGUAGAUUUAGCAGAAUAGUAAAUCUUCAUAUAUAGUAAGAAUAGUAAAAAUUCAGAUUUAGUAGAAUAGUAAAUUUUCAGAUUUAGUAGAUUAGUAA